rnacentral:rRNA from 1 species
AGCUUGCUCCUUGGGUGGCGAGUGGCGGACGGGUGAGGAAUACAUCGGAAUCUACUUUUUCGUGGGGGAUAACGUAGGGAAACUUACGCUAAUACCGCAUACGACCUACGGGUGAAAGCAGGGGACCUUCGGGCCUUGCGCGAUUGAAUGAGCCGAUGUCGGAUUAGCUAGUUGGCGGGGUAAAGGCCCACCAAGGCGACGAUCCGUAGCUGGUCUGAGAGGAUGAUCAGCCACACUGGAACUGAGACACGGUCCAGACUCCUACGGGAGGCAGCAGUGGGGAAUAUUGGACAAUGGGCGCAAGCCUGAUCCAGCCAUACCGCGUGGGUGAAGAAGGCCUUCGGGUUGUAAAGCCCUUUUGUUGGGAAAGAAAUCCAGCUGGCUAAUACCCGGUUGGGAUGACGGUACCCAAAGAAUAAGCACCGGCUAACUUCGUGCCAGCAGCCGCGGUAAUACGAAGGGUGCAAGCGUUACUCGGAAUUACUGGGCGUAAAGCGUGCGUAGGUGGUCGUUUAAGUCCGUUGUGAAAGCCCUGGGCUCAACCUGGGAACUGCAGUGGAUACUGGGCGACUAGAGUGUGGUAGAGGGUAGCGGAAUUCCUGGUGUAGCAGUGAAAUGCGUAGAGAUCAGGAGGAACAUCCAUGGCGAAGGCAGCUACCUGGACCAACACUGACACUGAGGCACGAAAGCGUGGGGGAGCAAACAGGAUUAGAUACCCUGGUAGUCCACGCCCCUAAACGAUGCGAACUGGGAUGUUGGGGUGCAAUUUGGCACGCAGUAUCGAAGCUAACGCGUUAAGUUCGCCGCCUGGGGAGUACGGUCGCAGACUGAAACUCAAAGGAAAUUGACGGGGGCCCGCACAAGCGGUGGAGUAUGUGGGUUUAAUUCGAUGCAACGCGAAGAACCUUACCCUGGCCUUGACAUGUCGAGAAACUUUCCAGAGAAUGGAUU